UCCCACCCUGAGAGUCCAGCUUUGUGUGAGCUCCUCCCCAAUGGGCCUGCUCUGCUUCCACAUGUCUGGAAAGGACCUUCUGUUUCAUUUCUUCCUGAAAAAAGAUGGCAUGACUUGGGUUGUCAUGACCACACAGGAAAACAAUGUGUCUUCUGCCAGAUUCACUUAAAAAGACAAACUUUAGGUCUCUGUGGGAAAGCUGCCUGCUACCUGCUGUGAUCCACUUCUUCAGGACAGCUUUGGAUCAUCUGAGUCUGAAGAUGCAGGGGCUGUGUUUGUUCUACUGGCCAUUAUUGUAAUCACUACCAAAGGAGUAUUUACUACCCCGUACUCAGCUCCAGGGGACUAAUCCUCUUGCAAGCAAUAAGGAAGACUCAAGCACACCCUUGAGAGUUAUUUAAAUCAGAAAUAUGGAAAGACAACCUUGGAAUGCCCCGGAAUUACCAGGAAGUGGGAUCAGAUGUGAGCACCAGGUGUGUGAUGAGCUGAGUCCAGUGGAGGGUGGGCUAGACUUGGCCUCUAACUCUGUCGCAAGCUGGAACUUCAGGUGGACUCCCUAAGGAGGCUUAAGGCCUAUGAUAUUCUUUCAGAAUUGAGACUGUUGCAAAGUUCUUUUGAAGAUUUCGAUUUACUCUCUCUCCCAUCCAUGAGUACUCUGCUUUACAAUCUCCCAAGCUAUGACCUAGGCACACAACAUAUCUAACAGGUGACAUAGAAUGGCUCAAUAUCACCAAAUGUGACUCAAGUUGAAAUAACAAACAGAAGGAUGGCUGAUAUUUAAGGGUGUGUGGCUUUUUGGGAAACCCCAAGAUAUCCCAAAUAUAAAGCAGAUUACCACAGGAACCGCAUCUACCUGGUUAUACUUAUCUUUUCUGAUGAUGGUGGGUGAUAGAGGAUUCAUCGUUGUAUUUCCCAAGGAGUUUAACAUAGUGCUUUCAUUCAAUUAAUUAAUGGGAAGGACUGGCAUGAAGAAAGGAAAUCAGUUGGGAGCUCAUGGACAGCCACUCUGCUCUAGAUCUUCCUUCUGCCAUUUUGUGUUGCCUUUGGACCUCCCACAUGGCUAGAAUUACUCUUACCAGUGGUACCAGGUUUCCCAGUCUCAAAGAUGUGAAGUCUUAGAAUGACCUUUGAGCAUAAUGCUUGUGCCAGAAGGUGCUGAAGUGGCUUGGCCUAGGCUGUAGCAAGCGGUGAAGCAUUGGAGAUUUUUAUCAACAUGUCUGAAGAUGCAGGUGACCUCAAGAGGAAGGAGUCUCAGAGAGGUUGGGAAGCAAAAAGUUUAGUGGAACAGCUGCCACAGGCUGGUCCUCUUCUGGAGCGUCUUGUUGCUGGGGAGACCAACCUCCCUACUCGAACACUGACACGGGACUGAAGCAACCCCAGAGGAACCUGCUCAGUGGUUAACGAUGGAAGUAUUUAAUUACUGGAUACUUCAGAUGUACCUGUAUGCUGUCAAACAUCUUGCUCUAAUGUUGUGAGUACACAUGCCCUCGAGCAAAUUGGAA